rnacentral:misc_RNA from 1 species
UCUCCGUUGGUGAACCAGCGGAGGGAUCAUUACAGAGUUUUCACACCUCCCAACCCUUGCGAACCGUACCCCUUCUGUUAUCGUUGCUUCCGGCCUGGUGCACGAGGAGGAGCGAAACGGCCCCCCCUCCCCGCCCGCCCGGGGCGGCGGACCCUACGAACCUUUAUAUCUCCACCACCAACAACCGCCUGCGAAAACAACCCAACUAAUCAAAACUUUCAACCACGGACCUCUUCUCUCUGGCAUCGCUGAAGCACCCCGCAGAUCGUAAUGGCACCC